rnacentral:rRNA from 1 species
CCAAUAGCGUAUAUUAAAGUUGUUGCAGUUAAAAAGCUCGUAGUUGAAUUUCGAGACCGGUUUAUUGGUCGUGCUUUUGUACGUACUGGUAUUAUUGGCUUCUCCUUUCUGACGAAUCUUAAUGCCAUUAAUUUGGUGUUUUGGGGAAUCAGGACUGUUACUUUGAAAAAAUUAGAGUGUUUAAAGCAGGCUCACGCUUGAAUACAUUAGCAUGGAAUAACGGAAUAGGACGUUUGAUUCUAUUUUGUUGGUUUCUAGGAUCGACGUAAUGAUUAAUAGGGAUAGUUGGGGGAAUUAGUAUUCAAUUGUCAGAGGUGAAAUUCUUGGAUUUAUUGAAGACUAACUACUGCGAAAGCAUUUGCCAAGGAUGUUUUCAUUAAUCAAGAACGAAAGUUAGGGGAUCGAAGACGAUCAGAUACCGUCGUAGUCUUAACCAUAAACUAUGCCGACUAGGGAUCGGAUGAUGUUAAUUUUUUAAUGACUCAUUCGGCGCCUUACG